UACGAGGGGGGCAAGCGUUGUUCGGAAUUAUUGGGCGUAAAGGGUGCGUAGGCGGUUUGGUAAGUCUUAUGUGAAAUCUACAGGCUCAACUUGUAGUCUGCAUGAGAAACUGCCGGGCUUGAGUAUGGGAGAGGUGAGUGGAAUUCCUGGUGUAGCGGUGAAAUGCGUAGAUAUCAGGAGGAACACCGGUGGCGAAGGCAGCCCCCUGGGCUAACACUGACGCUCAGGCACGAAAGCGUGGGGAGCAAACAGG
rnacentral:rRNA from 1 species